rnacentral:rRNA from 1 species
GAUGAACGCUGGCGGCGUGCCUAAUACAUGCCAGUCGAGCGAACAGACGAGGAGCUUACUCCUCUGACGUUAGCGGCGGACGGGUGAGUAACACGUGGAUAACCUACCUAUAAGACUGGGAUAACUUCGGGAAACCGGAGCUAAUACCGGAUAACAUGUUGAACCGCAUGGUUCAACAGUGAAAGACGGUCUUGCUGUCACUUAUAGAUGGAUCCGCGUCGCAUUAGCUAGUUGGUAAGGUAACGGCUUACCAAGGCAACGAUGCGUAGCCGACCUGAGAGGGUGAUCGGCCACACUGGAACUGAGACACGGUCCAGACUCCUACGGGAGGCAGCAGUAGGGAAUCUUCCGCAAUGGGCGAAAGCCUGACGGAGCAACGCCGCGUGAGCGAAGAAGGUCUUCGGAUCGUAAAACUCUGUUAUUAGGGAAGAACAAAUGUGUAAGUAACUAUGCACGUCUUGACGGUACCUAAUCAGAAAGCCACGGCUAACUACGUG